AGAAUCAACGCUGGCGGCGCGCCUAACACAUGCAAGUCGCACGAGAAAGGGUAGCAAUACCUGAGUAAAGUGGCGCACGGGUGAGUAACACGUGACUAAUCUACCCUCGAGUGGGGAAUAACUGAGAGAAAUCUUAGCUAAUACCGCAUAACACUUACGAGUCAAAGCAGCAAUGCGCUUGGGGAGGAGGUCGCGGCCGAUUAGCUAGUUGGCGGGGUAAUGGCCCACCAAGGCGAUGAUCGGUA
rnacentral:rRNA from 1 species